CGGACCGGCGGGAAGAUGGCGGCGGCGGCGGCGGCAGGCUGCCCAGCUGGGAAGGGGCGCGACAUUAGCUUGGCGGCCCUGCGGCGCCACGACCCCUACAUCAGCCGCAUCGUGGACGUGGCCAGCCAGGUGGCCCUGUACACCUUCGGCCACCGGGCCAACGAGUGGGAAAAGACUGACGUGGAAGGAACCUUAUUUGUUUACACAAGGUCUGCUUCUCCGAAACACGGCUUCACCAUCAUGAACAGGCUGAGCAUGGAGAAUAGGACAGAGCCCAUCACGAAAGACCUGGAUUUCCAGCUCCAGGACCCCUUCCUUCUCUACAGAAAUGCCAGAUUGUCCAUUUAUGGAAUUUGGUUUUACGACAAGGAAGAAUGCCAAAGAAUUGCAGAGCUUAUGAAAAACCUCACUCAGUACGAACAGUUGAAAGCCCACCGCGGAGCGGGAGUGGGGGCGUCCCCCGUGAGCCUCAGCUCGGGAGAGGGCAGGGAGGCGGACAUCUUACGGAUGCUUACCAAGGCCAAAGACGAAUACACGAAGUGUAAAGCCCGUCCUGAGCCCAAACAGAUCAGCAGCUCGUCCGCCAUCUACGACAACCCCAAUCUCAUCAAGCCGAUUCCAGUGAAGCCCGGUGGGAGCCGGCAGCAGCGCGGCCCUCGGCCCGGCCAGACCUCAGACCCUGAACCCCAGCACCUGUCCUUGACGGCUCUCUUCGGGAAGGAGGACAAAGCUACGUGUCAGGAAGCCGCGGGGCCUCCAAAGACCCUCCGCCAGCAGCAGCAAGAGAAGCUUCCGAUCCGGCAGGGGGUCGUCCGCUCCCUGUCCUACGAGGAACCCCGAAGACGCUCGCCCCCGGUCGAGAAGCAGCUCUGUCCCGCCAUUCAGAAGCUCCUGGUCGGGAGCGCGGACCUGCAGCCGCUGGCAGAGCUGCCCGAGAGCCGGCCCUGUGGAGCCGCCGCCCGGCCAGGGUCUCCCCGCGGCCCCGAGGUCUGCCGCCGCGCGCACGGUGCCCCCAGGACUCAGAACCCGCCGGACCAGCUCCAGAGCAUCCCUGGGCCGCCGGCACCAGCCGCCUCGGCCGAGACGCCGGGGCCCCGCGCGCUCCCGAGGCCAGCGCCCCCCGGCCCUGGGCCCGGCCGUCAGCCCCCGGGGCCCAGCGAGGUCUCCCCGCGGGAGCUGCUGUGGAAGCUGCAGGCGGUGCAGCAGGAGCAGCAGCUGCCGGCGCCCGGCCGCCCCGCCCUGGCGGCCAAGUUCCCCGUGGCCACCCCGAGCGCCCGGGCACGGAACCCCCUGGAGUCCUGGAGGGACCAGACCCCCGGCGCGGAGCAGCAGGCUCCCCUCCUUCAGGUCCUCUCGCCCCGGCGCGCCCCGCCCGCCGCGGGCCCAUCUCCGCUCAUGUCGCCACUGGAGUUCGCGCAGCCCCCCUGGGCCCCGCCGCCAGAGAGGGGCAGCGGGCCCUUGCCCCCGGGAAGCCAGGACCCAGCGGCCAGCCCCAGCGGCCCCCUCCUGCCCCUGCGGACGCCGGAGCCCCCCAGGACGCCGGGCGGUGCCCUGAGCAAGCCGCAGCUCCAGGAGGCCCUGCUACACCUCGUCCAGAAUGACGACAACUUCUUAAAUAUAAUCUACGAAGCCUAUCUCUUCAGCCUGACACAAGCGGCCAUGAAGAAGACUCUGUGAAAGCAAAACAUUUUAAGGCUGAUCUCCAAGGCCCUCCGGCUCCAGUGCACCUGGUACCAAGAAUUGAGUGGGUAGGAGAAGUCCUUUGCUCACAUCACACGCCCCGGUUAUUUCUGGAACUCGGAGAACGUGCCGACCACCAGGUGGCAGUGUCAGCCCGUGACCCCUGACGCGCCUCGCCAGCCUCUUCCAGACAAAGUAAACCUUUCCUUUGUAAACAUCCGUUGGGCCUUCGAAGGGAAAUGAUCUCUAAAGGUAUUUCUCGCCAGUUUCCGGGGGGGAGUUGUUUAGGGGCCCACAAAUGGCCCAGAGUUCCAGCAACACCGCGUCUGUCCGCUCCUUCCGGCAGAAGCCUGCCUGCCUCCAAAGGAACGGUUCCUCAUUUUCAGCAAAACGUGCUGAGAGGAAGGUCACAGACGAUCUUAAGGCCGGUCCGUGGCCUCUGGGGGGAGGCCGUGGAGUGCGGGCUCGACAGCAGGAUUCUUGAGGUCCUGCAGCCGGCUGACGACUCGCCUUCACAGCGACCGGGGCCUGCUCCCCGCCAGCCCUCCCCGGGCUGAGUCGCCCCGGAGGUGGCCCCUGCUGCGCGCUGGAGGUAAAGUGAGCUUUGUGCUUCUAUAGCCCUGUUUACUCUUGGACCACAAAAGGAUCUCUAGAGGCCCCCACAGGAGCCGGGCCUCGUUCUCCUUCUAGGGGUCACAGAGGAGGCGGGGAAGGAGGUUUCCUCCCAGCUUCUGAUGCCCAGACGUGAACUGGAAGCUCAGACCUGGGGUAGGCGUGUAACCAGGCAAGGGCCUGCGGGGAGCGCCCCCCCUCCGCCCGCCGCAGAAGGGCGCCUUCCCUUCGAGGAGGGGCCCACCUGGCCGGGCGCCCUGAGGCCGGGGUGCGGGGCUGCCGGUCCCUCUGAGUCGGGAAGGGGCGCCUCCCUCCGCUUCUUCGCCUCCUAUAGCGCCUCACGCCCUGACAGACCACAGGGUCCCUGAGGCCCGUCACUGCGUGGGCAGCGUUCCAGGCCUCUUACGGGGAGUGUGGGGCAAGGGGAGACACACGGCCCUGUUGCCCCGCGUCGGUGACGCUCACGUCGGCGGCACACACGCAGAGCGGAACAAAAUCCGCCGUCUCCCAGCCCGCGGGCGACCUUUAAAACCCGCGGGCACGUCUUUGAUCUGAAUUACACGUUUAGGGUGGCUUCUCCGGCUGGGGAGAAAUGAAUCCCACUGAAAAUUCUUCUCCUAUAUUUGUGGUAGCAAGUGGCUAAUUUCUGAAAUAUGUAUUCCUCUACUUGAUUGUUAUAUAAAUAAAAUAGAACUCUCAGUUGCAGCACCUACUGUGAAAAGGUGGCCGUGCACUGUGGCUGGAGGGGGCCCCCCGUGCCCGGUGUGGUCAGACCCACACCGCAGGCUUCCCUGGGCCUUUCUAGGUCAGCACCACAGUGGUCUGUUUUGAAAACAAAUUCUCCAUCCUUUACUGGAAUGAACCACUUUAAAAGUGACAGGCCCAGUCUGUUCAGACCAAAGACUGAGCCCCCUUUCAAAGGGCUCGGAGAUGAAGAGCUGACUUCCUCUGUGUGGGAAGCAGGGGGGAGCUGCUUUGUCCCAAGACCUUUCUCUGGAGGGUCCGGGAAAUGGACUGCAGGGUUAUCUAAGCACCCAGGACUAGAUCUCACAUGUAAACUCACUUUCCUUUUUCCCACCUCACCCCGAAUUCUGAGACCAUCCUGGACGCCCUCCUGCAUGUCGCUGGCUUCAGGCAGCAGCUUGAAGCCAGUUGAAUUCCAAGGGGAAGGAAGCCUGAGAUGGGUCCCUGGGCAGCGUUAUCCCGGGCACUGGAUUUCAACCCUGGAGAAGUGUCCGAAGUCGGCUCUGCCUGGUGCAGGGACAGAACACGGGGCCUUGGUCAGGCGGACUUGCCCUCACGUCCUGGGCGAGGGACCUCGUCUGAGAUGCUGUUCCUUCACCUGUAAACGAAAGCAGUACACAGCUCUCGGGUCCUCGCAGGGAUCCGAUGGGAGCGAUGUAGGGAAAUGGCUCCUCGGGCUGAGAGGCACAGGCUCCGUCCGGCCCGACGGGGCUCCCGCUGGGGUGAGGCCCGCGGCAGCCAGAGCGCCCUCGCCUGUCGCCCACAGGACACUGUGGCGCUGCACCCUCUUCUCCCUCACUCCUUUAUGGAUGAUGGGGGACCGUGCGCCUCACCCCUUCCCCCCAAGGGAGGCGCCCUGAGCUCCUCAAGACACACAC